rnacentral:rRNA from 1 species
UGGGGAAUAUUGGACAAUGGGGGAAACCCUGAUCCAGCGACGCCGCGUGUGUGAAGAAGGCCUUCGGGUUGUAAAGCACUUUCGGCAGGGACAAACAAGACGGAGCUAACAUCUCCGACCCUGAUGGUACCUGAAGAAGAAGCACCGGCUAACUCUGUGCCAGCAGCCGCGGUAAUACAGAGGGUGCAAGCGUUAAUCGGAAUUACUGGGCGUAAAGCGAGUGUAGGUGGUUUGCUAAGUCAGAUGUGAAAUCCCAGGGCUCAACCCUGGAACUGCAUUUGAUACUGGCAGGCUAGAGUGUGGUAGAGGAUAGUGGAAUUCCCGGUGUAGCGGUGAAAUGCGUAGAUAUCGGGAGGAACAUCAGUGGCGAAGGCGGCUAUCUGGACUAACACUGACACUGAGACACGAAAGCGUGGGGAGCAAACAGGAUUAGAUACCCCCGUAGUCC